rnacentral:rRNA from 1 species
UACGAAGGGGGCUAGCGUUGCUCGGAAUUACUGGGCGUAAAGGGCGCGUAGGCGGGUCGUUAAGUUGGGGGUGAAAGCCCAGGGCUCAACCCUGGAAUUGCCUUCAAUACUGGCGACCUUGAGUAUGGCAGAGGUGUGUGGAACUCCGAGUGUAGAGGUGAAAUUCGUAGAUAUUCGGAAGAACACCAGUGGCGAAGGCGACACACUGGGCCUGGCCUGACGCUGAGGCGCGAAAGCGUGGGGAGCGAUCCGG